CAAAACAGGUGUGACUGUGUUGGUAUUAGUACCUACGGUAGAUACCUAUUAAUCGUCUUCACAAUAUUACAUCUGCCUUUAAAAUACUAUAGUGCAAUAGUAAUUUUAACUAGUAGAUAAGUACAUAAUAGUUUCUGAAUGGUCGUGAUGGUGAAUUUAUGUAAGAAGAUAUAUGUCCAGCUAUACCAGGGGAUAUGGAUAUGAGAUCCGACCUCUUCUAGCUGCAGCUAUAUCUACGUAUCCCUUUUUCUUCGUAACAAUAUGCUGCCACUACAUUCCAGUUAAGCCAUUAAUUCUGGCUUAAAAGCUUGAACGGUUGUUAACUAUUGAAUAAACCUUAACACGAGGUAAAUUGUAAGACAUGAAAACUAUGCAAUAAAAAAGCCAUUUGAUUAUUUUUAUGAAAAACAUUUGUAUGUAAUGUGAAAUAGCUCACCGGUGUUCAGUUGUCUAUUUGCAAUGGGCAUUUUUAAACGGUGAAUACAGUCCAAACUUACUUCAAUUAGAAUGUUAGUAUUUCAUGUUCACCUAGACCUUCAUGUUCUAUUUUUCACUUUAUUGUCAUUUUAAUAACAUAAUAUUCCUAAAGAAAAUAAUAAUGAUGAUUUCACUAGAUUGAAAAGCACUAACCAUUUUACCCAAUCUUUCUUGUAUCAAACUUGUAUUGUGUUAUGAGAAAUUAUUUAUUGAGUAUUAUACUAGUUAAUUUGUACUGUACUCAACAACAGAUCGAACUUUGUGUGUUUAUGACCUUUUUGGAAGCACAUUUUAAAUCUUUAUUGAUGUGUAAGCAUGGUUUGUUUGUCUACAUGAACUGUCAAUCAUCUGGUUAAGUAUUAUUAUUGAUUGGAGUUAUUUUGACUGUUCGGAUAAUUAUUUAAUAAAUAAAACUAUCAUCCUAGCUUUUCAUCAUUCUCUUAAAGAAAUAAUUGUUUGUUUGCUUUUACCGUUGGUCAUAGUAGAACAAACCAUGCUAAAUUAAAUAGUAACUGUGAUGGAGCAUUAAAAGACAACAAUGAUACUUCUGACCUGAUAUGACCCAAUACUUUUUAAGACAACAAAAGAUGUUGUUUUAAGAUGUAUGAGGUCUGAAAAUUCAUAGAUUAUUAAAAUUCAUCUCAUAAUAAUCUAAUAGAUUUAAGGCUUUAACUCCUAUAGUACUCGAAUCAUUACGUACCUAACUUAUGUUACUUCAUUGUACCAUUUACGUAGCUCAAUUUACUUUUGAGCUAUAAUUUUGUUCGGCAACCAGAAUUAAUACCAUAUUCUGCUGAUAUAUUGUCAUCAACUUAUCAUAAAAAAAGGAAUCAAAAUUCACGAUCAAACAAUACAUUACAUCUAAUACAAUUUAAAAACAAACCUAUUAAUUGCUUUUUUAGAAUCGCAUUUAAGUCUUAUUAUAACUAACGAUAUAAUUGGUUACGUUUGCGCAUUAACCAAAACGGUCAUUGGACUAGGAAUAUUUCACUCUUGCACUCAUAGACACUGUCACUUUGCUUUUCACUACUGUGUUCCCAUUGCUAUUGAAUAAAUGUUCACGUAAAACCGCCAUGUAACUGGCAGCUGUAAAUAAAAGAUGAAAUUACAAAUCAAUAAUACGAAAAGGAAUAAAUCGCGAUGCUUUUUUACAUUUUUUUCGCUCAUUGCUAUAGUUGAAACAUCUAUUAGUCAUCAGUCGUUAAAUAUUCGCUGUGCAUAAGGAUUGUUGCAUACCAAGAGCUAGAAGCUGUAUCAAAGGUUACCUAGCUAUCCAAGAGUUAAAAUUUUAUUGCGUCCACAUUUCUAAUUGAACAAAAUUAAAGUCAAUGCUGUGCAAGUUGUAGCAGUUUAACGGACGUGUAGCCACGGGAAGUUAUGAUUAAGAAAGUAUUAAGUAUUAAGAGACUAUGAUUAAGAAAGUAUGAAGUAUGUAGAAAGUUUCAAUAACCAUUAUAUUGGAGAAAUUAGUUAAUGCUUAUAAUUAUUCAUAAAGGGACAAUUGUAGCCUUUGUCUAAGUAGAUCUUAAUUUCACGCAUUUCAGUUAAGUUACUCAUUUCGUUGUCUGCACUAGAGAAAAGAAUAUUUUAGCUAUGCGAGCUUAAAAUAAUUUAGCUCAGCUCUUGGUUUGCAACCUAUAUUGGUCUGAAAAUGUAAAUGGAAGAGGAGCUUCACUGAAGUGUUACUGGAUGCGGACGCCCCGGUGCCGGUGGUCGGAGAAAAUUACAAAUCCAUGCCGGAGGAGUUUCAGACUAGAUUAAUCGUAAUCACAAACACCUAAUUUUAUCAAAAAAUCCUCUUUAAAAUAAUAGUAUAUCGCGGCGACCACUGCAUCAUCAUCUUCAAAUUUAUCUUAGACCACGAAUCGUACAUAUUUUUCCAUUUAAUAUUUUGCUUUUUUUAUUUAUUUUGUGUACAAGCAUACUUUCUCUCACUCUCGAAGCCACCUUCUUAAAUGGAAGCUAUCGCAACUCUGGGUCUUGUGCGUGGGGGCGUUAUUUUAGUAAAACAAAACAACUUUAGCGAAUUUUCCACGCCGUUGUUUGCGUAUUUCCUUACGAAACUUUAGUUGUCAUGCGUAGUUCUCGAAACAGUGGCACCCCACUUGGCUGUUACCACCCCUUGGCUGUCCCAGUAAAAACAGGCAAACAUGAUCUUUCGUUUCCGGCUCACAAUAGUGAAUCCAUGUUUCGUUAAUUAUUAUGAAACGCAAACAGCUUUGUGAAAUUCUGUCUCGUUUGUUUCUGCGCGUCAGAAAAUAUUAUGGGCGCUUACAAAUCUUCCUCUGCUAUAAAAUAAACAGUAACACAACGAUCUGCCCAGACUUUUUUAAUCAUUUGUUCAAUCAGUACCGAUGUCGGCGUCCCGUGCGGGGGUCGUUGUUAAUGGAAGUUCUUCCACGCUUGAGCCCAGCACACCAAAGCGCGUAGAAUGUGGAGAAGCAUGAACUCCCAAAUGUUGUUCUCAGGUCUUGAUAUACCAGCUCCAUAAUAAAAAAAAAUCAAGCAGAUAUUACCGGGCGAAUUUCAAUUUCAUUCAAUUUAAGGACAGGUUCGACGUGACGCAAACAAUCGACUUUUGUUUUGAAAAAACAAAGGAAUACAUUGUUUUUAUUUUUAUUAUUAUAGGUUGGGGAAAAAGUUUCUUCGCAUUUUUUAAGAAAAAUCACAUUUUUUAAUAUAGUUUAUUUACAUUUAUGUUAUUAAAGUAUGUAGGUAGGUACAAUUUUGUUCGAUAAGUUUUUGCAUCUUGUAGGUAGGGACACGAUCCCAUUGCUAUAGAAAUUUUAGGGCUUCUGAUCAAAAUACCGCGACAAUUGGUUUUGGCAGUCCUCUCGUGGUGUUAAUCUGACAACACUGCCUAAAUAAUUCUGAAGAGACCGAAACAGGUGGAAAUCUGAAGGUGCAAAGUCAGGACUAUACGGCGGAUGCAUUAAAACCUCCCAGCCAAGCUCUCUUAAUUUUUGCUGAGUGGCUAAAGAGUGUGUGAGGUUGAUUAAUUCGGGCCGAUUAAUUCUCUCAACUUCUGGCUUUAAUCUCAUCAGUUGUUCUCAGUAGAGUUCAGAAUCGAUGGUCCUGCCUGGUUGGUGGUAACAGCUCAUAAUGAAUAAUACUCUUCCAAUCCCACACACACAGCAUCAACUUGUUGCGAGUUAACCCGGGUUUCACCAGUCUGUGAAGCCUGACCAGCCUUUGACCACGACCUUUUUCGCACGUUCUUGUCGUACGUGAUCCACUUUUCAAAUGCGCCAAAACUGUUUUGUGGUCAAUUCCCAGUCCUUCAGCUACGUCGCAACUACUGACGUGCCGAUCUUGCUCCACUUUUUCAAAAAUGACAUCCAUUUUAUCCGUGAUACGGCGACCAGAGCGACUACAUCUUUGACAUCAAAAUUUCCAGCUUGAAAACGCUUAAACCAAAUUUGUGCUACUCUCACAGACACUGAACUAGGUCCAUAAACAUCGCAAAUUUUUUUCGCGGCUUGCGUUGCAUUUUUACCUUUUUUUUAGUAAUUUUUUAAAAUGUAUCGAAUUUCUUCAUUAGAUUCACUCAUCUUGACAGUGCGAAAAAUAAAUAAAAAACAUUUUCCUAAUUUGAAUUUGGAAUUAACUUCUUUAAAAUUUAAACUUUUAAUGAUACCAAAACCAGCCAGAUACAAAUAGUAUAGCUAAAGAGAUUUUGUUACAAGUUCAUGCAUACUUUAUUGCGAAAAGACUUUUUCCCCAACCUAUUAUCUAAUGGCUGCCAGUUUUUUUAUUUGUCCAAUGAAUAAUUUAUGGCAUUAUCAUCAUUUAUUGAACACCUCUCGUAAACUUAGUUGGACUUCCACACUGUCAGCCCGUCUUCCAUAAUCGAGGUUGCGUUAUGCAGUUACCCCCCGCCCAAAAAGCCGCAAAGGAUCUCUUCACUCUGCCGAAAACUGGCAAAAUUAGAAGCCCACUUUACUUUCCAAACAAUUUGAACCUGAAGAAUCUGGACGUUUGCUUCAAAAUGCGCCAUACCCUCAAAAACUACCAAUACAUUUAUAAUAUCCCCGGAGGACUCCGUAAUCUAGUAACUAACAAAAUGCGCUAUGCCAGAUCGUCGAGGAACUUUUCGACACGCGACUCUUUGGACAAGUGUAGAGGGACUUUGUUUGUGUAGGUAGAUUUUAGCUCACCUUCCGCUGAACAUGUCGGUUACUAAUCAGCUGGCGACAUUCAAGUUGCUCUUGGAGCCGAGUGUUACUCAGGUAAAAAGCUAUCACACCGAGAGUUGCUCCUCCUUCAGCCGAAUUUAUAGUUUGAAGCUUCUUGGCUUCUGACUUCAACAACGGCCUGUUCUUCACAUUACGGGUCAGAUUUUCAUUAGACCAUCCCUGCCAAUGAGUACUCGUCGAACUUUUGGAUGGGCAUAUGUAUAAUAUCUAUUCAUAUGCCUAAAUGUCAAUAUGUGUAUGCAUAUUCCCUUUAGACUUCGAAACGCCUGGAUCAAUAUCGAUGAUUUUUUUAGGAAAUGGCCUAGUGAGUGAAUUUGUAUUUGGUAGCGAUCGGAUCAUAGUUAGAUCUUUUGAUCGUCCAGCAAAGUGGGCUAGGUUAAUAAUGGAAUCGCUUGUUAGACUAAAGGUAAUAUUUUCAUUUGAUCCACCUUUGCUAUAUGAAACUUGAAUUACAGUUGAAAGCUACUUUCCGAUAUUCCCACUAGAACGCAAGAACCGGAGAAAAGUUUCUUAAUCACCGAAGAUCAGAAUGCUCACAAUCCGAGAAAUGGGUACUACACUUUAGUCACACAUCUAAAAAAAAAAUCCCAAUAAACUUGUGACAAAUGUCUUGUCGGAUCGUGUACUGUACUUGCCAAAACUUACCAUACACCGUCCGUUCAGAUAAUCCUGUUAAAUUUAACGCUUUGCAUAAUUAUUUACAGUAACGAGGAAGCUUUCGCAUUGCAUUUCGAUAACAGUGUGUAACAAAAACUUGAUCCAGAAUUAAAAAUAAUCGUCAAUGUAAUCAAUAUAAAUAAGAGAAAAACAAAAAAACAGGAUUAUAAGGGCUUGUAAAUAUUUAGUUAAAUAAGUAAUUACACCACAAUUCUACGUAAUCAUUAAAAAUGUGUAGACAUCAUUGAAAAUUUGAUUCAGGACAUUAAGAUGCAGAUAUCUUACUAAUCACUGUUUUUAAAGUUUCAAAUGGGCAAAUUCUAUUUUUUUGGUUUGAAUUUUUUUAAUAUUAACUUUCUUCUUAACAUUUUAUAUCAAUUAUAAUCUAAAAGUUACGUCACCAAGAAAAAAACAAAUUAGCUAUAUAAAUCAAAUGCGACUUUAUGAUUCUGAAUGUUAAGAUAAUGGCCAUAAUUUAAGAACACCUGAGUAUCCCUAAUAACCGCAGUCUGGGUUAUAGCGGCUUAUUAAUAUCAACUCUAAUGUUCGGGCUUUUCGAAUACUGUUUACAAUGCUUUUUGUUUUUAUGCAAAGUUUAAAUUACGUCGAUAGAUCACAGGUUUUUAUUACACGCUGUUUAAAGCACAGGGAAUCUGGGUUAAACCCAGGUUAAAUCAGAAAAAGUCCGUUAAAACAAAUAUGGAUUGCGUAAUGUAUGAUAUUUUUUAAUCGAAUUCAUGGGCGGAUUUUUUUUAUUACUUUAUGUUAUGGAUAAAUAUCAUCCUCAGAGUAAAUAUCGUUUAAUUUCAAAAAUAGAUGGAUAAAUUGCCAUAUCACAAUAUAUUUAUUAGAAUUAAAUUAGUCACAAAACAGGUACUAUUAAAUAAUGAGAUUAAGAUCGAGCCAAACAUUUAUCUUGAAUUAAUUUAGUCAAAUUUAUAUAACUCAAAAACAAUGACAGACUUUUCUUUUAAAAAUAAAUUAAGCAUUUCUCUUAAAUACAAAAAAAAAGUGAGAUGCUGUAAAUUUAAACAUUGAAGGAUAAACAAUAAUUGACAUAAAAAAAAUUAAAAACAUUUUUCCUUAUACUAAAUCAGUCAUGGAUUUUAUAUAUAGGAAAUAUUGAAAUGACAUUGUUGUGUAGUAUGCUAAAGCUUAGUUUAGUAACACAGCUAUUCAGUCUUAUCGUUUCAUGAAUAAUAAUUAAAUUCAAAAUAUGCAAUAUACUUAAAUAGUGUUUAACAAUAAAGGCAAAAAACUUGUCUAGUAUAUUUUGUACUAUCAUUUUCUUAAACUUUCAGUCUUAAGUGUUCUCAAAUACAAAACAUUAAAAGUAACUAUCAGACUUAUAGUAAUACUGUAUUUUCAUUAUUUCAGUCUUUAAUCUCUUCAUAAUCGUAAUCUAAUUUUUAUUAUUUAAAAUGUUUGAAAUGAGGUUCGGCUGUAGUCAAUGAAUAUUCCAAAACAUUUCAUUCUUGGGCCAUAAAAACCAAUCCAAGUUGAUAUGUGAACUUGAAUUGAUUUUGAUAAUAAAUGUGAGUGGCAUUUGCACUCAUAGACAUCCGACCACGAAUAAAUAAAACAGUUGCCCGACGAACGUUGAUCAUAAUUCAAUUUAAAUUCCUACGUAACGGUACAUGUGAUAAAAUAUCAAACUUAAAUAAAAAAAUCCAAAUUAAAUAACACUAAAUGAGUUGAGCUCAUCUGAUUAGAUCGACGGUAAGAUAUCCUAUACUUUAAUAUGAAAUUUAUGACUUUGCUAAAUUUGAUGAGAGUACAUUUUUUAUUGCUCUGAAUAUAGCUCGAAUUUAAAAUUAAUACAUAGUUUUAUAAAGACUAAAUUGUUAUAACUUCGUCGUUUGAAGAUAGUGAAUGUUAAAAAAAUAAAAUCGAAAUUAUCACUAUAAACUUAAUAGUUAGCAGACAACGAACAACAAGUUAAAAAAUCACCAAACAAAACUACAUAAUAUUUUUCAUUAAUUCUUUAAAUCAUUAUAUAUUCGAUAUUAUCGAUGGAUAUGGUGGAAAUUAACGAUGACUCCAUCGAUAGAUACCAACUACUUUUCGUAUUUAAUCCAAUAAUAACAGUAAAAUAUGACCCGUUGGUACCCCUUUCAACUUACAAAAAUAAUUCUUCGAUUGAUUUAACUAUAAACUUAGAACAUUGUAAAAUACCUUUUAAUUUGUACUUUAGGGUGUACAGGUCAAGAUGGAAGUGAUCCCUGUAUAUGUAUAUAUAAAAAUAUUCUAAAUUAUGAAAUAUUCUUUUUUUGGAUGUGCAAAACUCACUUAAUUCUAAAGUAGAUUUUUGGCGGCACGUUGUAGACAUUGAUAUACAAAUUGAUGUAAAUAUUGUUUUCUGUAACAGCUGUGGUCCUAAUCAGGUUUAGUAUUUUGCUUGAUUUCCAAUUCCUAUUAGUACUGAUUAAAAUAAUUUUACAGUAAAUUUAAGAGUAACAGAAUAAAUAUAUUUGUUACUAUACAUAAUUUGUUGGAAAUCAGUUUUUGUACAAGUAUAGGAAAUACACAUCGAGAUCAAUUUUGUGGUCCCUUUUUUAUUAUAUACUUUAUUUAUUUUUACAAUUACAAUUAUAAUUUAAGGAAGUAAUGAGUUAUUUCAUUUUUUGAUAAUGGUUGUGAUAAAGUCGAUUGUUUGUGUAAGUAUUAUUACGUGACACUCAACACUCAAUUAUUAGGACAAUCAAGGUAGAUUUCACUAUAACAUUUCACUUCUUCGCUUGCUUGAGGCGAUCCGUUAAGCGCCCUGUAAACGAUCAAAUUGUUUGUCAAAUUUUACGUGUUUGUCAAAUUAUUUGACAGUAUGCAGCUUUGUUUGAUGCGUUUGUCUAACAGUCUACGUGUUUGAUGGAAAUCUUAAUUGACGGCGUGCUUGACAAACAUGUUUGAACAUGUAUGGGAGAUCUCAGUCGUUGCUCGACACAGGCGAGGAGAAAACCGAAUCUACGGGCAAGUUAACAAACUUGUUUGAUCAUUUAUUUAUGCUAUUGUUUGAUGAGAACGUAAAGUUUGACAAACGAAUUUGACCGUUUACAGGGCGCUUUAGCCUCUUCGAUUCAUGUCGCUAUUCACUAGUUUCAUGUCGCGUGUGCCACGCUUUUAUAGUGGUGUCAACCAUAUCUACAUAAAGAUUUAGCAGAACAUUCAAGAGAUGUGUCAGUUAGUUGCAAUAUCCGUUUUUGCUAUUUAAUGAUAAGACAGGCAUUCCUAGUAUCGGCAUAACACCGUCGCCUCCUUAGGCAUCGAUAUUGGUAUACUGGCCUAACACCUUCAUUUAAUCUAUCAGACAAUAAUAAGAACAGUUCUUAUCAGUUCAGUAUCACAGUGAAUGGUGGGCUGUAAACUAAACAUUCCAAUUCUAGUUGCUGAAAUAAAGAUGCUGAUGUGGAUGUGCAGCGUUAUUCGAUCGAUCCAGGCUCGAUAAUUUAAAAUAAUAUGGUAGAUUUAGAAAUAAUGACAGUUUAAAUGACUAGAUCGGUCAACCCUCAGUCAUCGAAAAUGACUAUACCUACUCGAGUCAAUGAUAAUUCAUUUAGCACCACAAACAAUUGCUCUACUCAAAAUGUCAGACGCACACUGGCCACUGUGUUUAAAAACUCCACUAUACAGUACGUGCAGUAUUAAAAUAAAUUUAACAACACUGCAAAUGGAUUCGUGGGAUCUUAACACCGCAGUUUUGAUAGAAUUUGUCAUCAGGCAGUUUGCAGUGUUUUUUUUAUGCUAAGAAAUUUACAUGACAAGGGAAAUUUAAGACAACGAGUGUGGUAAAACUAUAUGAAAUAAAUUUUUUUUGUGUUAGGAGUAGACUUGCAUUGUGUACAUGAACAUUUAAAUCUUUUAAAUAUAGGUCUUAUUUUACUUUCCAUUACUAUUACGAAAUUACAUUUUUUUUCGGUUUUGCUCCGCACUAUGAAAGUUAUUAGUAGAGUGACAUGUAAAUGAUUAAUACACUCUUUACAAAAUAAUUACAGCCGUUUUAAUUCUACAUGGUCGUUGUUCUGUACGUCUGUUGUUCCUACGAAUUAAAUAAUUGAGACAAUUUUUCAAUUACUUCUCACUACUGGCUACCUAGCUCACUGAUCCUUAGCUACCAACUCCUAGCUUGAAUACUGGUGACAUUUUGCCUAUUUUUGCAGUGAACCCACCGUGCGUUUCGCUUUAAAUACUCUGUGACUGAAUUACAUAACAUUAUCCGGUUUACCUUGUACAAUUUGAUAGUUACAUGAGAAGUAUCUAUUGAAGAAAUAAUGCUCUUGUAUUGGACAAUGCUUGUAAUGCAGUGGACGAUUAUCGUGUUAAUUUUUUCAUUUUUUAUUUUUUGUUAAUUACUUCAGUUAUCAGUUUUUUUAUUACUCUAUACUUGGUCAUUUUGUCAUAACUUGCCGAUUUUAAGAAAUA